rnacentral:rRNA from 1 species
GACGAACGCUGGCGGCGUGCUUAACACAUGCAAGUCGAGCGAUGAAGUUCCUUCGGGAAUGGAUUAGCGGCGGACGGGUGAGUAACACGUGGGUAACCUGCCUCAUAGAGGGGAAUAGCCUUUCGAAAGGAAGAUUAAUACCGCAUAAGAUUGUAGUUUCGCAUGAAACAGCAAUUAAAGGAGUAAUCCGCUAUGAGAUGGACCCGCGUCGCAUUAGCUAGUGGGUGAGGUAACGGCUCACCAAGGCGACGAUGCGUAGCCGACCUAAGAGGGUGAUCGGCCACAUUGGGACUGAGACACGGCCCAGACUCCUACGGGAGGCAGCAGUGGGGAAUAUUGCACAAUGGGGGAAACCCUGAUGCAGCAACGCCGCGUGAGUGAUGACGGUCUUCGGAUUGUAAAACUCUGUCUUCAGGGACGAUAAUGACGGUACCUGAGGAGAAAGCCACGGCUAACUACGUGCCAGCAGCCGCCGCCG